rnacentral:lncRNA from 1 species
AUGACAGUUAAACCUCCUGUCCUUGGUUACCAUGGAAACCUCUUAAGGUCCGUAAGAAGGGAUAAUUCCACCUGCUCAGACCUAGUUCACAGAAAUAGCAACAAAAUUUUUACCACUCCUACGGCAACAGAGUAGGAAGAAAUGUUCACUAUUCCAUUGAUUCAUAAUCUCAAAACUCAGUAUUUGGUAUGUAAUUCAUCAUGUAGUUAAUGUUUUAAAAUGUAUGCUAUAAAGAGACUACCUCAUGUAUGAACGGUUCAGUUAUUCUAAAUUUUAAAAAAAAACUUUCACAUCAUCUUUGCCCUCAUCAGGAUACAAUCUCUGAAAUGCAGUGCCCAGAAUAGACGGACUUAAUUUGCCACUAUAUCUGAGAACAAAUUCAAGACAUUUUUCUUAAAUGGGCCGCUAUUAAAGAUCAGUGAGGAAAAAAAAAAUCACUCAGUGACACUAGGCAAUUCAGAAACCAAGACUAUACAGAGCUGACUUAAUUCACUCAACAAGCUGAAAAAAGCUUUGAUACACCCCAUAUGCAUCUCUGCAGCACUCUGAUAUCUGACAUGACAGUAGAUUAAUGAAAAGGAAACUUGAUUUGAUUGUAAAACUUUCUGUUACAAAUCUGCAUGUAAUAGCUGAAGUGUUAAGUUGAAGUCAAAACAGUGCAUGUUUUCUAUAAAAUUACAUUCUUGUGUUUGCAAACUGGCUUGGGCAUUCAUUUGACUGACAGCUGCUACCCAAGGAAUCCUAGCAGUCCUGAGCUGCCUUCUUACUGACUGUCAACAUGUUUAGAUUUUAGGUAGUACACUAAAGAGCCCUAAGGAAUCA